rnacentral:ncRNA from 1 species
CCAUACAAGCGAAACAAAGGUGCAUCGCGCUUAAUAGGGAAUCCCGUGCGAUCCGGGAGCGGUCCCGCCGCUGUAACUCCUGCCCCUGCCGGCAAUGCCCGCAGGGAACCGCCAAACCAUAUGCCACUGUUCCGGAUCACCGGUGUGGGAAGGCGUCUGACGGGUCGGGGAAGCCAGAAGACCUGCCUUUUGCACGUGCCGGAGA